GUUGUUUCUUAUUAUUGAUCUGAAGUUGGCAAGUCAACCAGCUGUUUCAUGCUUACAUGUGCAUGUUGAACUCUAUAUGUCUUGCAAAAGUAAUUGGAUCAGUUUGAAGCUGUUUUGGAUUACAUUCUGAGGCAGCUAUAGGAUAUUCAAACAAAACUUGACUAUUCUUUUGUAGCGAUUUUAAUUAAGAAAUUUUAUUGACCCUUAUUAUUUCCAAUCUUGGAAAGAGUUGUCUGCUCUGUACCUAAAUCAACCAAAUUCCAAUAAUUAAGGCCAUUGGUAAUAAAUAUUUAGCAAUAGCCAAUAAUAAAAUAAAGCAAAACCAAAGCCUGAAAUAUAUUAGGCUGAAUUUUUACUCUACCUGUUGAACACAUUUUGUGUUUAGAAAUGUCACAUGGACUUAUCUGUGUUCGAUUGACCAGAAAAUGCAACGAAGAUGAAAACUAUUUCUAACAACCUUUAUACCUUGGUUACUGGGGACAUGGCUGAAGUUGGUAUGACCUCACGCCCAGAGCGUCAGAAAUGUCCCGUUCACUCCUGUAUCGUAACCACGUUGGAUUGUCAUGAGGACUUUGCUUACAGAAUUCACACCUUGAUUACUUGAGCACAAGUGAUGUGCGAAUAGCAAAGAUUAUGCUCAUAAGGCACCAGAAAUGCCCCUUGAACAUAUUGUAUCCGCGCCCGAUUGGGGGACAAAUGCAACGAAGACGAUGAUUCCGCUAACAAGCUUUACACCUUGGUUUCUUAUUUCCCUGUUGCUACAUUUAAGGGACUUAACACCGUCAAUGUUGACGCUAAUCAAUAAACCGAACAUAUUAUAUAAUGGGCUUUAGAUGUAGUCCUUAUAAAGUUGUGGAUUUGUUAGUGUUAGUUUUUCCUAAAAUGGCUGUACCUGUUUUAAAGAUUUGUGUUUACGGACUCCUAAAAAUUACAAUGCGUUGUAUUGUAACCGGUCAGCUUGUGUCUUUUCAUUGGUUAGCAGCAUGCCUCCUUUAGCACAUUGAAAGGGCGACUAAUAAAUUACAAACCUACCUAA